rnacentral:rRNA from 1 species
UACGUAGGGGGCGAGCGUUGUCCGGAAUUACUGGGCGUAAAGGGCGUGUAGGCGGCCCGUGAAGUCAGGAGUGAAAACUCGAGGCUCAACCUCGAGAUUGCUUUUGAAACCAGCGGGCUUGAGUGCAGGAGAGGAAAGUGGAAUUCCCAGUGUAGCGGUGAAAUCCGUAGAUAUUAGGAGGAACACCGGUGGCGAAGGCGGCUGCCUGGACCGAUACUGACGCUGAGACGCGAAAGCGUGGGGAGCAAACAGGAUUAGAUACCCGUGUAGU